UACGUAGGGGGCAAGCGUUGUCCGGAAUCAUUGGGCGUAAAGCGCGUGUAGGCGGCUCGGUAAGUCUGCUGUGAAAGUCCAGGGCUCAACCCUGGGAUGCCGGUGGAUACUGUCGAGCUCGAGUCCGGAAGAGGCGAGUGGAAUUCCUGGUGUAGCGGUGAAAUGCGCAGAUAUCAGGAGGAACACCAAUGGCGAAGGCAGCUCGCUGGGACGUGACUGACGCUGAGACGCGAAAGCGUGGGGAGCAAACGGG
rnacentral:rRNA from 1 species